GGCAGAUUAUUGUGGCAUGGCCAGGCGAGAGUAGCACGCUUCCACCGUGUUUUGACAUCCUCGUUAUGACGAUGCAUGGCCUUCUUGUUAAACAUGUGUCAAUCAAGAUUUUCUUGAUUUCUUCGGUACAACUACUUACUUGACCCAACUGGUUGAGCACUUGGUGGCGGAAUUCUCUCGAAUUGACUUCACCCUCAGAACAAUGAUCAAGGAGUGGAGUUAUUCGUCAAACUGUAUUAUACUUGUGAUGGAAUUAGAGUCGUUUUCUUGUAAAUAUGGGUUUUCCUGAUGAUGUUAAAUUGUAGAGCUGUAUUUAUUGAAUUGUAUUUCUUUCUUGGGAUCACAAGGAGCCUAGAUUGCAUUUCCUCAGCAGCAUCUGUAGCGGCCCCUGUGGAGUGAGCUAGGUGAAAGUGGUAUAGUGGAGAAGCUUAUAUGGGAAGUUGCAGUGAGUUUUAGGCCCUAACUUUGUACAGCGCACACAUUCCAAUUCCUGAAUUAUGCUGAAACAUAAGUGAGAUUUAUUCCUUUCUUGGCAAGUUAAGUCCAACAAUA